AAGUCGUAACAAGGUUUCCGUAGGUGAACCUGCGGAAGGAUCGUUACCGAGUUCAUGCCCUUACGGGUAGAUCUCCCACCCUUUGUAUACUAUACCUUUGUUGCUUUGGCGGGCCGCCUAGCUACUGGCUUCGGCUGGUAUGUGCCCGCCAGGGGACCCAAAACCCUGAAUUAUUAGUGUCGUCUGAGUAAAUAUUUAAUAUUUAAAA
rnacentral:misc_RNA from 1 species